GAUGAACGCUCGCUGUGUGCCUAAUACAUGCAUGUUGAACGGGAUGUAGCAAUACAUUCAGUAGCGAAUGGGUGAGUAACACGUACCUAACCUACCUUUAAGACUGGGAUAACUAUUGGAAACAAUAGCUAAUACCGGAUAUAGUUAUUUAUCGCAUGAUGAGUAAUAGAAAGGAGCUUCACAGCUUCACUUAAAAAUGGGGGUGCGGAACAUUAGUUAGUUGGUAGGGUAAUGGCCUACCAAGACGAUGAUGUUUAGCCGGGCCGAGAGGCUGUACGGCCACACUGGGACUGAGAUACGGCCCAGACUCCUACGGGAGGCAGCAGUAAGGAAUUUUCCACAAUGAGCGAAAGCUUGAUGGAGCGACACAGCGUGCAGGAUGAAGUUCUUCGGAAUGUAAACUGCUGUUAUAAGGGAAGAAAAAAUAGAAUAGGAAAUGAUUUUAUCUUGACGGUACCUUAUUAAAAAGCGACGGCAAACUAUGUGCCAGCAGCUGCGGUAAUACAUAGGUCGCAAGCGUUAUCCGGAAUUAUUGGGCGUAAAGCGUCCGUAGGUUUUUUGCUAAGUCUGGAGUUAAAUGCUGAAGCUCAACUUCAGUCCGCUUUGGAUACUGGCAAAAUAGAAUUAUAAAGAGGUUAGCGGAAUUCCUAGUGAAGCGGUGGAAUGCGUAGAUAUUAGGAAGAACACCAAUAGGCGAAGGCAGCUAACUGGUUAUAUAUUGACACUAAGGGACGAAAGCGUGGGGAGCAAACAGG
rnacentral:rRNA from 1 species